CACGUAGUUAGCCGUGACUUUCUAAGUAAUUACCGUCAAAUAAAGGCCAGUUACUACCUCUAUCUUUCUUCACUACCAACAGAGCUUUACGAGCCGAAACCCUUCUUCACUCACGCGGCGUUGCUCCAUCAGACUUUCGUCCAUUGUGGAAGAUUCCCUACUGCUGCCUCCCGUAGGAGUUUGGGCCGUGUCUCAGUCCAAUGUGGCCGAUCAGUCUCUCAACUCGGCUAUGCAUCAUUGCCUUGGUAAGCCGUUACCUUACCAACUAGCUAAUGCACCGCAGGUCCAUCCAAGACGUGAUAGCAGAACCAUCUUUACAAACUCUAGACAUGCGUCUAGUUGUUGUUACUCCGGUAUUAGCAUUCUUGUUUCCUAGGUUGUUACUCCAGUUCUCGUUGGGCUACGGUUACCCACGUUGUUACCUCCACCCGUCCG
rnacentral:rRNA from 1 species